GUCGAACGAAGCCUUCGGGCUUAGUGGCGGACGGGUUAGUAACGCGUGGGAACGUGCCCUUCUCUACGGAAUAGUCCCGGGAAACUGGGUUUAAUACCGUAUACGCCCUUCGGGGGAAAGAUUUAUCGGGGAAGGAUCGGCCCGCGUCUGAUUAGAUAGUUGGUGGGGUAACGGCCUACCAAGUCGACGAUCAGUAGCUGGUUUGAGAGGAUGAUCAGCAACACUGGGACUGAGACACGGCCCAGACUCCUACGGGAGGCAGCAGUGGGGAAUCUUAGACAAUGGGCGCAAGCCUGAUCUAGCCAUGCCGCGUGAGUGAUGAAGGCCUUAGGGUCGUAAAGCUCUUUCGCUGGGGAAGAUAAUGACUGUACCCAGUAAAGAAACCCCGGCUAACUCCGUGCCAGCAGCCGCGGUAAUACGGAGGGGGUUAGCGUUGUUCGGAAUUACUGGGCGUAAAGCGCGCGUAGGCGGAUUGGAAAGUUGGGGGUGAAAUCCCGGGGCUCAACCCCGGAACGGCCUCCAAAACUAUCAGUCUAGAGGUCGAGAGAGGUGAGUGGAAUUCCGAGUGUAGAGGUGAAAUUCGUAGAUAUUCGGAGGAACACCAGUGGCGAAGGCGGCUCACUGGCUCGAUACUGACGC
rnacentral:rRNA from 1 species